CAGGAGGGAGUUUUGUGAACUUUGGAUUCCAACCCUUCUACUUCUUCCACUAUGAGCCUGAGAAACCAAAUCUUUUUCAUCAUAUGUGGACCGUAAAUCCCAUGGUAUCUCUGAGAAAAGGGCCUGGACCCAAACCACAAGAUCUGAACAUCUUGAAGUAGGAAAACUCCUUCUGAGCCGCUGUAAGUUGGGGCAAGACUACCUCUCCAUGUGACGGUGGUAGAAAAAGUAGAAAAACAGGGCUUCCGUAUUUGAAGUGGAAGAAGUGUCCAUUACAGGAAGAUGGAAAAGGUUGCAUGUUCAGGGUCAUCCAGCACUGGGUUUUUCAGUGUGGAAGCACAGUACAAUGAAUUGUGUCUUGCAGUUUGAAGUCAUGACGACAUCACGAUACCUUAUCUGCUGAACUCUCAAAAGUUCAGUUUCAGGGCUCCACCAAAGGAAAAGGACCAUCUGUGUGGGCAUCUAUGUCUCUGUACCAGCUGUCACAUCUGCUCCCAUCUCUCCAGUCACAGCUUCUUUGACUUGCUGACCCCGUUCAGCUCCACCGGAGCCACACUGCCAGAGACUCCUCAACCUUUAAUAUGAAUUCCACAGCAUGUAGCAGGCUUC